UUCGUUUCGCUAAUUCUGGGUGAAAGCAAACUUCAGAAAGUUAGCUAAAGUUUGCCAGUUGGUGUCAUUUUCUCACAAUGCUUGAAGAAGUUAUAGAGGUCUAUUACCAGACAAUUCAGGUAUUUUUUUGCAGAACCAAGUUUCAUAUGUGAAAAUGACACCAUUUGAAUUAAGACAGGUUAACAAUCCAAUUAAAAACAUCACAUCCAGCAGUUUAGACAGGUAAAUAAAACAAUGAGUGCUUGUUCACAAUCAAAAACCAAGGCCUCAACCUUUCAUUACCUAAUUCUAAAAAUGAAAUCAACUGCACUAUAAAAAUAGACUAUAACCUUUCUUUUUCUUUUUUCUUUUUUUCUUCUUUUAGGUGUCCGGGCCAGUUUAGGUGCACCUUGACUAUUCUACUCCUUGGUUCGGUCAAAGGCAUGCCAUCCAUGCCAGGACUAGAGGAUUCACAAGAGAUUUCUAAAUCUCUUGCAGCCUGACCCCAGAGCUUGCCAAGGUUUGGAGCUCAAGAGCUCAUCCCUAUUGCCACUUGAGCUCCCUUGAGGUUGACCUUUCUUUAAUUUACACACCAAGAACACACCAGAAACAGAUAGUAAGACGUAUCUCUAAUAGGUCUAAGAUCUGUUUUGAUUUCUUAAGUUAC